GAUGAACGCUGGCGGCGUGCCUAAUACAUGCAAGUCGAGCGAAUGGAUUAAGAGCUUGCUCUUAUGAAGUUAGCGGCGGACGGGUGAGUAACACGUGGGUAACCUGCCCAUAAGACUGGGAUAACUCCGGGAAACCGGGGCUAAUACCGGAUAAUAUUUUGAACUGCAUGGUUCAAAAUUGAAAGGCGGCUUCGGCUGUCACUUAUGGAUGGACACGCGUCGCAUUAGCUAGUUGGUGAGGUAACGGCUCACCAAGGCAACGAUGCGUAGCCCACCUGAGAGGGUGAUCGGCCACACUGGGACUGAGACACGGCCCAGACUCCUACGGGAGGCAGCAGUAGGGAAUCUUCCGCGAUGGAUGAAAGUCUGACGGAGCAACGCCGCGUGAGUGAUGAAGGCUUUCGGGUCGUAAAACUCUGUUGUUAGGGAAGAACAAGUGCUAGUUGAAUAAGCUGGCACCUUGACGGUACCUAACCAGAAAGCCACGGCUAACUACGUGCCAGCCGCCGCGGUAA
rnacentral:rRNA from 1 species